rnacentral:lncRNA from 1 species
GGCCCUCGCGCGUCCCCUGCCGGGAGAAGGAGCCCUGGUCUCCCGCGGCCAGGGCCUCUCGGCCUCCCCAGUCGCGGGCUCGGACAGCACUGCUUCCAGCGAUGGCCAAAGUCUGUGAAGGCCUUCCCCAGCGAGCAGCUUCUUUCCCUGGGUCGAAGGAAUGUCAGCUGGAUGUCCAAACUAAACUGUGUGCAGAAUGUGGUGCUGAUUGAAUCGCGCCCCCCUCUCAGAGAUAUGUUGACGUCCUAACCUACGGUGGCAGCGAUCGUGAAAUUAUUUGGAAAUAGUCUUUGCCGAUGUAAUCAAGCGAGCUCAUUGGAAUGCGCCCUUCCUAUUCAACGUGACUGGCAUCCUCAUAACAAGGGGAAAUGCAUGUGAAAAUAGAAAUACACGAGGAGGCCAUGUGAGGACAGAGGCGGAGGUUAAAGUGGCUGCAAGCCUAGGAAUGCCAAGAUCCUUGGCCACAAGCAGAAGCUAGAAAGAGACAAGGAAGACUUCUCCCCAAAAGGUUGUUCCUGCCCUGACACCUGGAUUUUGGACUUGGAGUUGCCAAAACUGACAUGACGUCUUUCUGUUGUUUCAAGUCAUCAAGUGCUUCCCUAAGGUUUGGCUAGGAAGACUUCCACAACUGUAGGGAAGGAGGAGAGGAG